CAGCGUGAUAGAGGCGCGGUUCCGAAAGAGUAGACGGCCGAGGAGGUAUCCCGUGACGCCGUCGGAAAGGUCGGACCGCCGAAACGGCGCACCCGACGGGGUGCGUUGGUUGGGGGUGCGGAGAAGAUCCGCACCACUCCCGCCGCAGGCCACUGCGGCGGAGGAGCUGUCGGCUGU
rnacentral:ncRNA from 2 species